rnacentral:rRNA from 1 species
UUAAGUUAGAAAGGGCGCACGGUGGAUGCCUUGACACUAGGAGUCGAUGAAGGACGGGACUAACGCCGAUAUGCUUCGGGGAGCUGUAAGUAAGCUUUGAUCCGAAGAUUUCCGAAUGGGGAAACCCACCAUACGUAAUGGUAUGGUAUCCUUAUCUGAAUACAUAGGGUAAGGAAGACAGACCCAGGGAACUGAAACAUCUAAGUACCUGGAGGAAGAGAAAGCAAAUGCGAUUUCCUGAGUAGCGGCGAGCGAAACGGAACAUAGCCCAAACCAAGAGGCUUGCCUCUUGGGGUUGUAGGACAUUCUAUACGGAGUUACAAAGGAAUGAGGUAGACGAGGCGACUUGGAAAGGUCCGUCGUAGAGGGUAACAACCCCGUAGUCGAAACUUCGUUCUCUCUUGAAUGUAUCCUGAGUACGGCGGAACACGUGAAAUUCCGUCGGAAUCUGGGAGGACCAUCUCCCAAGGCUAAAUACUCCCUAGUGAUCGAUAGUGAACCAGUACCGUGAGAGAAAGGUGAAAAGCACCCCGGAAGGGGAGUGAAAGAGAUCCUGAAACCGUGUGCCUACAAAUAGUCAGAGCCCGUUAACGGGUGAUGGCGUGCCUUUUGUAGAAUGAACCGGCGAGUUACGAUCCCGUGCGAGGUUAAGCUGAAGAGGCGGAGCCGCAGCGAAAGCGAGUCUGAAUAGGGCGUUUAGUACGUGGUCGUAGACCCGAAACCAGGUGAUCUACCCAUGUCCAGGGUGAAGUUCAGGUAACACUGAAUGGAGGCCCGAACCCACGCACGUUGAAAAGUGCGGGGAUGAGGUGUGGGUAGCGGAGAAAUUCCAAUCGAACCUGGAGAUAGCUGGUUCUCCCCGAAAUAGCUUUAGGGCUAGCCUUAAGUGUAAGAGUCUUGGAGGUAGAGCACUGAUUGGACUAGGGGUCCUCAUCGGAUUACCGAAUUCAGUCAAACUCCGAAUGCCAAUGACUUAUCCUUAGGAGUCAGACUGCGAGUGAUAAGAUCCGUAGUCAAAAGGGAAACAGCCCAGACCGCCAGCUAAGGUCCCAAAGUGUGUAUUAAGUGGAAAAGGAUGUGGAGUUGCUUAGACAACUAGGAUGUUGGCUUAGAAGCAGCCACCAUUUAAAGAGUGCGUAAUAGCUCACUAGUCGAGUGACUCUGCGCCGAAAAUGUACCGGGGCUAAAUACACCACCGAAGCUGCGGAUUGAUACCAAUGGUAUCAGUGGUAGGGGAGCGUUCUAAGGACAGUGAAGUCAGACCGGAAGGACUGGUGGAGUGCUUAGAAGUGAGAAUGCCGGUAUGAGUAGCGAAAGACGGGUGAGAAUCCCGUCACCGAAUGCCUAAGGUUUCCUGAGGAAGGCUCGUCCGCUCAGGGUUAGUCAGGACCUAAGCCGAGGCCGACAGGCGUAGGCGAUGGACAACAGGUUGAUAUUCCUGUACCACCUCUUUAUCGUUUGAGCAAUGGAGGGACGCAGAAGGAUAGAAGAAGCGUGCGAUUGGUUGUGCACGUCCAAGCAGUUAGGCUGAUAAGUAGGCAAAUCCGCUUAUCGUGAAGGCUGAGCUGUGAUGGGGAAGCUCCUUAUGGAGCGAAGUCUUUGAUUCCCCGCUGCCAAGAAAAGCUUCUAGCGAGAUAAAAGGUGCCUGUACCGCAAACCGACACAGGUAGGCGAGGAGAGAAUCCUAAGGUGUGCGAGAGAACUCUGGUUAAGGAACUCGGCAAAAUGACCCCGUAACUUCGGGAGAAGGGGUGCUUUCUUAACGGAAAGCCGCAGUGAAUAGGCCCAAGCGACUGUUUAGCAAAAACACAGCUCUCUGCGAAGCCGUAAGGCGAAGUAUAGGGGGUGACACCUGCCCGGUGCUGGAAGGUUAAGGAGAGGGGUUAGCGUAAGCGAAGCUCUGAACUGAAGCCCCAGUAAACGGCGGCCGUAACUAUAACGGUCCUAAGGUAGCGAAAUUCCUUGUCGGGUAAGUUCCGACCCGCACGAAAGGUGUAACGAUUUGGGCACUGUCUCAACCAGAGACUCGGUGAAAUUAUAGUACCUGUGAAGAUGCAGGUUACCCGCGACAGGACGGAAAGACCCCGUGGAGCUUUACUGUAGCCUGAUAUUGAAUUUUGGUACAGUUUGUACAGGAUAGGCGGGAGCCUUUGAAACCGGAGCGCUAGCUUCGGUGGAGGCGCUGGUGGGAUACCGCCCUGACUGUAUUGAAAUUCUAACCUACGGGUCUUAUCGACCCGGGAGACAGUGUCAGGUGGGCAGUUUGACUGGGGCGGUCGCCUCCUAAAGUGUAACGGAGGCGCCCAAAGGUUCCCUCAGAAUGGUUGGAAAUCAUUCGUAGAGUGCAAAGGCAUAAGGGAGCUUGACUGCGAGACCUACAAGUCGAGCAGGGACGAAAGUCGGGCUUAGUGAUCCGGUGGUUCCGCAUGGAAGGGCCAUCGCUCAACGGAUAAAAGCUACCCCGGGGAUAACAGGCUUAUCUCCCCCAAGAGUCCACAUCGACGGGGAGGUUUGGCACCUCGAUGUCGGCUCAUCGCAUCCUGGGGCUGUAGUCGGUCCCAAGGGUUGGGCUGUUCGCCCAUUAAAGCGGUACGCGAGCUGGGUUCAGAACGUCGUGAGACAGUUCGGUCCCUAUCCGUCGUGGGCGUAGGAAAUUUGAGAGGAGCUGUCCUUAGUACGAGAGGACCGGGAUGGACGCACCGCUGGUGUACCAGUUGUUCUGCCAAGGGCAUAGCUGGGUAGCUAUGUGCGGAAGGGAUAAGUGCUGAAAGCAUCUAAGCAUGAAGCCCCCCUCAAGAUGAGAUUUCCCAUAGCGUAAGCUAGUAAGAUCCCUGAAAGAUGAUCAGGUUGAUAGGUUCGAGGUGGAAGCAUGGUGACAUGUGGAGCUGACGAAUACUAAUAGAUCGAGGACUUAACCAU